AAUGAACGCUGGCGGCAUGCCUAACACAUGCAAGUCGAACGAAGGCUUCGGCCUUAGUGGCGCACGGGUGCGUAACGCGUGGGAAUCUGCCCUCAGGUUCGGAAUAACAGCGAGAAAUUGCUGCUAAUACUGGAUGAUAUCGCGAGAUCAAAGAUUUAUCGCCUGAGGAUGAGCCCGCGUAGGAUUAGCUAGAUGGUGUGGUAAAGGCGCACCAAGGCGACGAUCCUUAGCUGGUCUGAGAGGAUGAUCAGCCACACUGGGACUGAGACACGGCCCAGACUCCUACGGGAGGCAGCAGUGGGGAAUAUUGGACAAUGGGCGAAAGCCUGAUCCAGCAAUGCCGCGUGAGUGAUGAAGGCCUUAGGGUUGUAAAGCUCUUUUACCCGGGAUGAUAAUGACAGUACCGGGAGAAUAAGCUCCGGCUAACUCCGUGCCAGCCGCCGCGGUAA
rnacentral:rRNA from 1 species